rnacentral:rRNA from 1 species
UACGUAGGGGCAGCGUGUCGGAUUCAUUGGCGUAAAGAGCGUGUAGGCGGCCAGGUAGGUCGGUUGUGAAACUGGAGGCUCAACCUUCAGAGGUCGACCGAAACCAUCUGGCUAGAGUCCGGGAGAGGAGAGUGGAAUUCCUGGUGUAGCGGUGAAAUGCGCAGAUAUCAGGAAGAACACCCGUGGCGAAAGCGGCUCUCUGGAACGGUACUGACGCUGAGACGCGAAAGCGUGGGGAGCGAACAGG